rnacentral:misc_RNA from 1 species
UUCAAGCGCUUCAGCUAAUGCCUUUAACUCCUCGCGACCCGGGGCUACGAUUGUUCCGAAGCUUAUAUAUACAACAGACGCAGUUUUUUGUCGAUCCAGCCAUGUCAGGUGCCCCGUAGCAUCUGUGCCUGAUAGGUUUAAUGAACCCACAAAGAGUAAAUUUUGAGCCUUGGACUUGAGAUAAUUUGUGAGGAAACUAGGAUUUAGUUCUUCGUAAGAGCUCCACACAAUUGCAGAUGCUUGAGUAAUUUUUCGUACCAUUGAUGAUAAAAUUUGGACAACUGGACUACUGGGAUUUCUCUGGAACACUUCAUAGUGGAAGUCUUUAAAGGGUACUGGAGGUAAACCUGGAAUGAUAUCUACGACUUGGUCUUCUGGGUGAUCAUCGUGGGUUUGAGCAUUAUUGUAGAGCUGUUGAAUGAGAUCCUUUUGGAACCAGACAGCAAGAUCAUGAGGUGCAGGUACCAUAAACGCUACCCAUGGCACAUUUAUCUCCUCGGCCAACUUGCCAAGGUCAAACGAGAAAAAGGCAUCUAUUAUCAGGAAGGUUACACUUCCACCACCUGUCUCUGCCACCGCUGUAUCAAUUCCGCGUCUGAAGUUCCCCGGGAACUGUUUAAAGAAGUACUUACCUUCCAGUGCAUGAUCUAAUGUUAAGUGAUCAACCCUUUCCGGCAAGCCAUCGUCCACAUCAUAGGUUUUGAUAUUGGUUGGGAGGAUAUUAGUUUCAUUUGACAAGACCAUUGAGUUUGAUCUUUGAGUGCAGAUGAAAGAAAACUGCAGUUGAGGGGCUUCUUUUGCUAGUCUACACACCAGGCCAAAGAGAGCCAUCGGAUGACUGGUGAACGGAAAUACACACACGGCAACAUGCCCUGCCGGCAGUGAACUUUUGGUUACUGGCAUUGUGCAGCUCGUGGUGAA